rnacentral:rRNA from 1 species
GAUGAACGCUAGCGGGAGGCUUAACACAUGCAAGUCGAGGGGCAGCACAGGUAGCAAUACCGGGUGGCGACCGGCGCACGGGUGAGUAACGCGUAUGCAACCUACCCUGUACAGGGGGAUAGCCCGGAGAAAUUCGGAUUAAUACCCCAUGGAAAUAUUGAGAGGCAUCUUGAGAUAUUUAAAGUUCCGGCGGUACGGGAUGGGCAUGCGUAACAUUAGCUAGUUGGUAAGGUAACGGCUUACCAAGGCUUUGAUGUUUAGGGGUCCUGAGAGGGUGGUCCCCCACACUGGUACUGAGACACGGACCAGACUCCUACGGGUGGCUG